GAUAUCACGUGAAGAUUUUUAUUUAAACCAGGAGUCUAUGCGGUCUUAACCAUGGAAAUUAUCAUUCAUUCAUCGCAAACAUUUUAGACGUUUAAAGAUAAUUAGAUUACUUUAACAGUGGAUACAAUAGAAGAAGAUACUGUACAGCCAAUUAUCUGAUCUGGGUCAGGCAGAGGCCUGGAGAACAUCAUAGGCACCACUGGACACAAGGCUGAGGCACGACCGGUACAGGAGGCCAGUGAAUGACUGGACUGCUAAAGAAACUUUGUGGUCAAAAUGUCAACCUCAACUUCCGGGCUCCCGUAUGCCCCAUGGACCGGAUGCACCAUGUUCGCUGUUUCUGAAAAACCGCAAGGUCUCCAGAGUCGUGGGAUCUGCUUGAGCCACAUGCCUGCAGGCCAAGGACUAUUUUGCCCUUCUGGACCAACACGUGGAGUGGUGGUGCACCCCUGUGGAGAGUGCCUGAGGCUAGCGCACUCCCCCUGCGGGCAGGAGAGAUAUUAGCAAGGCCGACUUCUGCAGAACCUGGCCCAGCAAGGGCCGUCUUUGAUUCUGCCUCGCCUCCAGAGCCCGACUUCACCUCUGCCAUCAAGAAGGGCCACCUCGCCUACGCCUGACCCAGUCGUCCCACCCACACCAGACCCAAGGACCCCGACUCCUCCCUGUCUCUUGACGUCCUGCAGGCACCCACCUCGCAGCCUCCAGACUCGCUGCUGAUGGAGUUCUCUUAUCUCCACUGGCUGCCACUGGGUUGAAGCCCAACCCCCGGCCACUAGGCUGAUGCCUGACUCCCUGGCUGCCGCCAAGCCAGUUUCAGUUGACCCAGAUGAUGCCAAACUAGAGGACUAGGAGUGGGAUUCUCUGGGCCUCAUCCCAAGUCCCAUUCCGUGGACCCCCACCUCAGCCCAACGCUCGCACCAAGCUGGUCUCAAUUCCCGGUGAGGUCAACGGUGCAAGCUGGGGCCCAGAAGAGGGGCAGGCCAAGUUUCCAUCCCCAGGAAAUAUGGACACACUAUGUACGCCAGCUGCCCAGACCCUGGCCUACCCAACAAUGUCUGCAUGGGCACCUGCUGUGGCCAUGGGGAGAGAAACCGCGGCACGCUCUAGCUCCUGCCCUGCAGUCCCCUCGGUGCCCAUCUGCCCUGCAUUCCCCUAUGUGCCCAUCUGCCCUGCAGUCCCCUCGGUGCCCAUCUGCCCUGCAGUCCCCUCGGUGCCCAUCUGCCCUGCAGUUCCCUCGGUGCCCAUCUGCCCUGCAGUCCCCUCUGCCCUGCAGUCCCCUCGGUGCCCAUCUGCCCGGCAGUCCCCUCGGUGCCCAUCUGCCCUGCAGUCCCCUCUGCCCUGCAGUCCCCUCUGUGCCCAUCUGCCCGGCAGUCCCCUCGGUGCCCUCUGGUCCUGCUGGCCCCUUGGCACCCUCCGGUGAUGCUAGCCCGUCGGCACCCUCCGGUGAUGCUAGCCCGUCGGCACCCUCUGGCCCCGCCGACUCUCCAGAUGUCCCCCGUUUUGUUCGUCAAGCCUUAGUCCCUGAUCCAGUGCCUUGUCCUGCCAUUAUUUUUGCCUGGUCUGUAUCCCUUGUGGUCCUCUCCUAUGUUUCGGUCCUUGCUUCUGUGGUUCCUCCACCUGUCUGCCCUGUUCUGGUGUGUG